GACGAACGCUGGCGGCGUGCUUAACACAUGCAAGUCGAACGGAAAGGCCCUGCUUUUGUGGGGUGCUCGAGUGGCGAACGGGAGAGUAACACGUGAGUAACCUGCCCUUGACUCUGGGAUAACUUCAGGACACUGGAGCUAAUACAGGAUAGGAGAUCCUGCUGCUUGGUGGGGGUUGGAAAGUUUCGGCGGUUGGGGAUGGACUCGCGGCUUGUCAGCUUGUUGGUGGGGUUGUGGCUUAGAAAGGCUUUGGAGGGUGGCCGGCCUGAGAGGGUGGCCGGCCACGUUGGGACUGCGAUACGGCCCAGACUCCUACGGGAGGCAGCAGUGGGGAAUAGUGUACAAUGGGCGGAAGCCGGAUGCAGCGACGCCGCGUGCGGGAUGACGGCCUUCGGGUUGUAAACCGCGUCCGCCUGUUACGAAGCGGGAGUGACGGUAAUGGGUAAAGAAGCACCGGCUAACUACGUG
rnacentral:rRNA from 1 species